rnacentral:rRNA from 1 species
GGGGAAUAUUGGACAAUGGGGGAAACCCUGAUCCAGCGACGCCGCGUGUGUGAAGAAGGCCUGCGGGUUGUAAAGCACUUUUAGUGGGGAUGAAAAGCUCAGGGCUAACACUCCUGGGUCUUGACCUAACCCAAAGAAAAAGCACCGGCUAACUCUGUGCCAGCAGCCGCGGUAAUACAGAGGGUGCAAGCGUUAAUCGGAAUUACUGGGCGUAAAGCGUGCGCAGACGGUUAUUUAAGUCGGAUGUGAAAUCCCCGGGCUCAACCUGGGAAUUGCAUUCGAGACUGAAUAGCUAGGGUACGGAAGAGGGAAGCGGAAUUUCAGGUGUAGCAGUGAAAUGCGUAGAUAUCUGAAGGAACAUCAGUGGCGAAGGCGGCUUCCUGGUCCAGUACCGACGUUCAGGCACGAAAGCGUGGGGAGCAAAC